rnacentral:ncRNA from 1 species
AAAUAGGCGAUGGAGUUCGCCUUUAAAUGCUUGAAAGAGCUAAUGACUCCUACCCA